UCCAGACUCAGAGACCUGGGUUUAAUAAUGAAUUAAUUCAUUUAAUCAUUCAUUGUUUGUUUUACCACAACUUUAUCCUGGUCAGGGUCGUGGUGUCUGAUUUAUUAGGCAAAAGGAGCUGUGGGCCAAAGCAGGAGGCAGACGGACUUUGGAGGUGGAACCCUUUUCACUUGCCCUGCAGUCUAGAGCACAUUGGAUGUUAUUGAUGUGUGCGGUGUGAUCACGUGUGGUGUGUAGUGUAGGAGAUUCCUUUACUUCCAUAUUUUCCGCUGCCGUGAAAGAGGAUGAAAGGCAUCUGACACCAGCAGAAAACCAGACCAGACCGAGCCCUGCAUUACAGUUUCAGUGGAAAUACAUACAGAUGACUGUCAAUUAAAAGGAGCUAUCACAUCAAUCAUCUGUGCUUCUGUGUCCCCUCUGCCAACCAAAAAUGCCAAUGCAGAGGGACACUAAUCCAACGUGGCUUACUACCGAACUCCUUCAGCAGCUGAGCAGUGUUACAGAGUAAUUUUGUUCUAUUAGCAUAUCUUUCUUUCCAAAGUUUUUUUUUUAAAUGUAAUUUAGCAG